CUUUCCUUGCUUCUCUGUUGUGCAUGUCUCUUUUCCACUCUUUUUUCCUUUCCUUCUAUCUUUUUCAAUAAUUUGUCAUCAUUUUCCUCCGCAGGAAAGAGAUUCGUGAAGCCAUCGAAGGUUACAAAGGAUAUACAUACUGAUCGUACUUUUACAGAAAGUCUACGAGUUUUUAUGCAUGUAACCCUUUUUUCCCCAUCAAUAUUCGAUAGUGAUUAGGAAGGAUGGACGGUGGAUUGGAGUAGAAAAAAAAAUACUAAAGGUCAAUUAUGGGAACCUCAUAUAUGGGCUGAUGAACGAGUAUAUCCAACAUAACUGAAAGGUCCUGUUUGA